rnacentral:lncRNA from 1 species
GAAGGAUGACCUAAUCUUUGAUGCCAAAGACCAACAAUUUUAGUUACAUAAUUCAAGAAAGGAGAAACAUGUUGUGUAAUGGAUUUAUCUAAACAGUAUAAGCCACCAAUCAAAUCAACUAAACCAAUCCUGUCUCUGGUUCUACUGUCCUGUAUGAUACACUUGUUAGAACAGAAAGUUAAAUCACAUUGAAGGCAAGAAAUAAGUUUGGAUAUAGAGACAAGAUUGAAAGAAAAAGCUAGAACAUAUAAAACAUUUGUAAGACUAAUUCUGUAAUUGAGAUUAACAGUUCCAGAGUAAUUUGAUGUAACAUAGUGGCCAUUGGGUGGAAAAAUCAUAUAAAGUAAAACAUACAUAAUCUGUUGCUCUAGAGUCUAAAAUCCAAGUAUAUUUAUUUAGUAAAGGAUUCUUUAAGGUAUGUGUGUUGCCUGUAGAGGUAGAGUCCCUGUCUUGUUGACUUGUACCAGCAACAAAAGAUCCAACCUGAUUCACUUGAGCUUGUCCAGCAGAAGUGUUUGCUUGCUUGAGAAGGUUGGUUAAGAUUUGAUAUUGCUGAUGAGUAAAAUGAGUAUCGCCAUUCUCAUUGUUGUUAGAAUCAUACUCCUCUUGAGUGGCAAUGUUGUUGACAGAAUAAGUCUUACCAUUUUGGAAUUUGUAACCGGGUGGAUAACCAUGCUUCUUAUAGCAUGUAUCAACAGUGUGACCAGUUUUAUUGUAGUGUGUGCAAACCUUUCUAUUACUAUUAUGACUGGCCUUUUUUCCAUCCUGAUUGGGAAAACCAUGUUUCAUAAAACACACACUAUCAUUAUGACCAUUCUUGCCACAAAAACAAGAAACAACAUAAGACUGCACAUUACUCUUGUUUACCAUGGGUUGAGCAUUCUUUGUAUUAGCUAUCAAAGCAUUGCUACUCAAUUGUCAUUCUUGUUGGGCUGCUAAAGAAAAUAUUUUUGGUAUAGGUGGGACGGAUUCCAUUAAACGGACAUAGGAUUUAACAUUGCUAUACUGAUCGUUUAGACCUCUCAAAAAUUGCAUACCUUGGUCUUCCCUAAAACUAGUAACACGUUAAUUAUAUGAUAAUAGUUUUAAUAUAAUGAAUAGAUAAUCUUAUUAACUUCAUAUAUGACAUUAUAUAUGGGUGGAUAUGCUAUUUUCAUAUAUAUUUUGUUUAGUCUUCUUAUCUUCUAUAUUUUUAAAAACAAAUUAUCUAAAUUUUAUUUUCUUGAUUAAUCCUUAAACUUUAUCUUGUUUCCAAAUAAACACUAUCAACUUCAAUUUUAUUCCAAUAUUGAUCUUUAAACUUUAAUUACUUAUUUUGAAAAUAGUCACUUAAUUAAUUUUAUCAUAAUUAAUCCUUAAAAUUUACCCCUUUUUUAAAUAGUCUCUCGUAUAGAAUUGGGUUAAACUCUAAAUCGUUUUAUUCUAAAACAUAGUCAUUUAUUUAUUUAUUUUUCACAAUCACAUUUUUCUACAUUAAAACAUAGUUAAUUUUAGAAAUAAACCACUCUUUAUAAUUUUUUUUUUUUAUCUCAUGACCUUUUAGUUUUUCGAAAUUAUAUCUUAAUAUAUAAAUACAUGAAUUUUAACCAAAGAAUUAAAUGUGAUUUAUAUUGAAAAUAAAUUAUGUUUCUCUAAUUUGAUAAAAAUAACUAUUGCCAAAAGAAAUCUUAAGAAUCUAUUAGAAUGCAAUUAAAGUUCAAGGUGUCAAUUCAAAAAAGUGAUAAAUUCAAGGACUAAUUUGAAUCAACUUAAAUGUUGUCUACUUGAAAACAUUUAAAGAUAAAAUUAAUAUUUUUAAAAUUUGUAUUUAUAUAAAAAAAUAGAGGAAUUAAAUACUUUUUCCCCUAAAUAUAUAAAUAUAUGGAACUUGCACAUAGAAUAAUAAAACUAUAGAACAUUAUAUCCCUUAUACUUAUACAUCAGAAUAGUUUCUUAUAAGAUUUCAUUCUCAUUUUUUUUUAUGAUAGCAAGGUUUCUUUCUCUUUACUCACUAGCAUUUUACUUAGUCUAAAUUCUAUAGAGAACAUUAAAUUUUCUUUUAUAUACUAAUAUUUCUCAUUCUCAACGAAAUUCUAUCAGCAUAAUUAUAAGAAAAAAUUAUAAAUUAUAAUAUAGCAGAAGUUUAACUACUUUUUAUUUUAUGAUUUUAUUGUAAAAAUAUUUUUCAGUUAAUUAAAAUCUUAAUUUAAACAACUUUUUAUUUUUUACAUCAAUCUUCAAUGAAAGACCUUUAAUUUUAAAAAAUAAAUAAUAUUAGUUAAUAAAAAAUAAUUAAUUUAUUAUGUUUUUCUUUCACUUUUUUUUUCUAACUUAUGUUAUUGAUUAGGUUUUUUUCCACCCCUGAAACAGUAACGUAAAAAGUACGCAUACCCGUGGCAGCCUCCUUGUUCCACAUAAUUAAAACACCAUAUUCAACUUACAUCUUGGACUUAACUUCGGACACUUAAAUUCAAUUUUUAUGUGCUAAGACAAACAAAUUACGCUAAAGAUGGCGAUUAGCAUAUUCUGACUACAACAAACAUCUUCCCAUUAAAAACAAAGUUUUCAAAUAAUGCAAAACACAAAUGUCCUAUCAGUUAGAUGUAACACCUUAUCUUGUUCGGUGGCUCCCAUUAGUCAAGUGUUGAAAUCAAAAGAGAAAGACAAGAAGUUCAGAAAAUGAUAUCUUUUGCUUCCGUUUUUAGUUUUCAUCAAUAAUUUUUUUUCAAAAACUAAUUGUCCGGUUAUAAUUUUCAAGCAAUGGCACCCAAAUGUGUGUGAAAACUAAGAAAUCGUGUAGAAAUGCAGAAACUAUAACUAGUAACUCAGUCAACGCCUGAAAAAUCACAUCUGAGAUAUAAAACUAUAACACGUUAUAAAAGUUGUAGAAAUUCAAUUGCGUCUUAUAAUAUCGUGACAGAUCUAUUGUUAAUUAAGCAUUUGUUAGAUAUCUGAAUAAGGACUUGACAAGCUUUUAUAAAAAGAUAUAUAAUAACAGAUUUUAGAGAUUCAUUUACUUGUUCCAUCUUCUAAGAAACCACGUGCUGAAACACCAUAGUAAUUUAAGGAAAAUGCAAGAUUGGUUUCGCCUCCCUCAAGAUGAGUCCAACAAUACCAAAACUGGACAAUUCAACGAUUCAAAAUGACCAUGCGGCAUUGAUUGGUCUAAUUAAGAAAGCAUGCAUCUCAUGAUUCAUGAGGCAGUAGAAUUUUUUAUAUGUCCUGUUGUCUUCACUAAACUCUUUCAAUUACUAUAAAAGCCAUACACCUAGCAUCCCAAUAUGCAUAAACAAACACAUACAUUAUUAAGAUUCCUCAUUGGAACACAAGAAAGAAAAGGUGCGAGAGAUGGAGAACUUCCCCGUGAUCAACUUGGCGAAUCUCAAUGGUGAGGAGAAGAAGGCUACCCUAGAGCAGAUUGAAGAUGCUUGCAAAAACUGGGGAUUUUUUGAGGUACCCCACGAACUGGCUCAUAAGAGCUUUCUCACACUCUUAACAUAUAAGUCUCCAUACAUUUGCAAGCUAAAGUUUUGUUGAUGUUGNNNNNNNNNNNNNNNNNNNNNNNNNNNNNNNNNNNNNNNNNNNNNNNNNNNNNNNNNNNNNNNNNNNNNNNNNNNNNNNNNNNNNNNNNNNNNNNNNNNNUAUUAUAUAUAUAUAUAUAUAUAUUAUAGGUUUUUUGUUUGUAUUAGUUGUAGUUAUAGUAAUUGUGAUGCAACAUUUCACAGGUAAUAAGUAAUGGGAAAUACAAGAGUGUGGAGCAUCGUGUGAAUGCUCGAAGUGAUGGGACGAGAAUGUCGGUGGCCUCAUUCUACAACCCUGGCAGUGAUGCUCUUAUCUACCCUGCACCACCAUUGUUGGAGAGAGACCCUUUGUACCCAACAUUUGUAUUUGAGGAUUACAUGAAGCUCUAUGCUACGGUCAAAUUCCAACCAAAGGAACCAAGAUUUCAAGCCAUCAAGGCUCUCAACUCUUUUUAGAAUACUUCCAACUCCAUCACAUGCAAGUCUCAACCAACACGAUACACUUCAAGAACAAUUAAAUAGAAAAAUGGAUAAAAGACCGCAGUAUGCUGCAAGAAAUAUUUAUUUUAUAAUUAUUCAAAUGCUUAUUUACAACACCUGAUUUGUUUACUUUCUUUAUAAUAUAUAAGUCAUUAUUCUUUGUUGGUAGUUGAUUUCUAGUAUUAUUUAUCUGCUCCAUUAUUUUGGAAAAUAAAAAGGGAAGUUUCAAGUUGGGUGUCAUUACCAAAAUGGUUACACUCUAUGCUUAAACAGGAAAGUUGCAUGAGAAAGCGAGAAAUAAAAAAUAUUUGGCGAUGCUUAUGAUAUGAUAAGACAUGAAUCCAACACCACACUGAUAUGGAAGAAUGUCCUCCUAUAAACUUUCAUCUUUAUCCCUUGCCUUUGGCACCCUAACAAAAAUUGCAGCCAGAUGAUCAACGUUGAGUGACACCUGAUCGAGGGGAAAGAAAGGGACAGGAAAACAAGUGGCAACAUAAAUGGGCAAUAUGACCUUCCCGUAUUUGUGACUGAACAGAAAAGAAUGGCCAGUGCAGAAAGAAACAAGCAAUGCAAUAAUGGAUAAGAAAACAGAACUUAAGCCGAGAAGAAGUUUGAGUGACAAUGUUGUGCGAUAAUCUCUGGUAGCUUUCUAGAAGUGAGGAUGGUAAGGAACACUCUAUGUCUAACAAUAGAGAAUCAAAGUAAAAGUUAAAUAUUGUCGAAUUUAAUUAAUAAAUAUGAAUCACUUUAAGGAUGAUUUAACUCUUUUACAAAUACUUCUUUCGAAAGGAAAAAGAGAUCUUAUAAACUUACCAAAAGCUGCCAAUUCAAACCAAUAGGGGACAAUAAAAGAAAAACAACACAACAUCAACCUACACAAACUAACAAAAGCUCUUGAUUUAAGUCAUAAUCAAGACACUAAUCAUAAAAAGAAAAAUAAGCAGAAGAAAAUUUAGUUGUAAUUCAGAACCAAACAUUUAGUUGAACCAAAGAAAGAAUUUCAGAAUGAUCAAUUACUCAUCUUCAAAGAUGUGUUUGUUUCUAUGCCUCUAAAUCUCACUCAUAACUGCAACAUAAACACUUCUCCAAACGACAUUUACAUAAACUGGGACAUUGCAUAAUUUAAAAUACAAGAAAUGUGAAAUAGAAUCAAUAUAACACUGGAUCUAAACUAGUCAAGCAAUUUUACAGUAAAAAAACAAAUGUCUUGUUGUCUCCUAUUCUUCUUCACACAUACAAGAGGAAUCUCUCUUCUAACCAAGUUAGUCUUAAAGGCCAUUAGAAGCCAUCGUAUUUUCCAACACUUUCUAAUAUGUAAAAUGAGUUGAAGUAAGAACCUUGAUUUUCCAAAAAGAAUAAAAAAAGACGACAAUCUUUCCGUGUGUAUAUAUAUACACGUAUAUCUUCUAUACUGACUAAUAGUGAUGAGUGAUCUAUUUUUUUUUUAAUAUUUUGAUAAAAAAUUACAUGCUAUGUUAUCAUAUCAUAAAAUACCAACAUUUGCUUAAACUUUUUCAAUCCUUAAAUUUACUUUUAAGAGUCAAAAUAAAUUCUAGUGCAACCACGCACUUAAACAUGAAAGUCUUAACCUACCUAUGGUAGACAAUGUGACAAAAAACUUAAACAUAGAACAUAACAUUACCUUUGAAGUUGCAAUCAAAAUUAUUUGAGUAUUAUUAAUUACACUAAGAAUGUCCAGAAACAAUUCUCCAAAAUCGCAAACUGGAAACGUUGCUACAAUUCAGAACUUUCUUCCUAGCUCACAUUUUACAUAUAAAUGCACACCUUUGAUAUCCAGACAACAAGGAUGUGAUACAAACAAAAAAAGAUUUGUAUGACAUUUAAACAUAAUGCCACACUGAAAUGAUAUGAUAGAGCUUAGGUUAGGUCCUACAACUUAUCUCCUUUAUCACUUGAUUGUGGAACCGUAGUUAAAAUGGCUGUUAGAAGAUCAAAGUAUAGAGGAAACUGUGCCACAGCAUAGAAUGUGACAGGAAAAAAAGUGGCUGCAUAAAUGGGGUAUAGGACCGUCUUGUAUCCGUGACUAAGCAGAAAAAAAUGGCCGGUGCAGAAAGAAACAAUCAUUGCAGCAAUGGAUACGAAAAGAGAACUCAAGCCAAGAAGAAGUUUGAGUGGCAAAUCUCUGCGAAAAUCUUUGGCUUGCUUUCGAGAAGUGAGGAUGGUAAGGAACAUUAUGAGACCAGUGACGGAAAAACAAAGUCCAACAAGCGAAGCAAUGGCAAAUACAUCGAAUGCAGGCUUGCCUUCUAAAUUAGGCCUACCUUGGUCGUCGGUGCCACCAGGGAUGCUGUUGGCUGCAGUGAAGGAAACACCAGCAACAAGUGCAGCCACAACAGAACAAGAUUCAGACGUAUCCUUCAGCCACUCUCCACUUUCCUCUAUCAGUUCUUUAUGUGUUUCCUCGAAGAUGUCCCCUGCGGUUUUCCCCUUCUUGUCACUUCUAAAGGAAAAGUGUUGUGGCACAAGGCCUUUAAUAUACUGCUCCAGAGAAAAACAAAACAUCAACAUUACCAUAAAUAUUGCAGUAAUUGUCUUUCAUUCAUCUACUCUUUCUACCGUUUCAUGCAAUCUUUUCUCUCUAAAUAUUGCCACUCUACAUUUAUAAUAACAUUGUAUUAUUAUGUGUGCUAGAAAAGUUAUUUUAAAAUAAUGUAACUAGAUCUAAAGAUCAAACUCAGAAAGUGUAAAAUUAAAUUAAGUAAAAAGACUUUGUGUUUGUGUAUACCUGAAACCACUUUAUAUCCCACACCAUUUGUAAGGCAGAACCAGCUAUCUGCCAAGGUUUAUCGCCGCCAGGAGCAUAUGCUGCCAAGUGUAACAUGGUGCUCUCAUCUUCAUCUACUGUCAGAAUUAAGUUAUUCCAAACUUCUGGUUUUGACUGCAUCUUCGUUUUCAAACACUGAACAACAAGGGGUUGCCUAUUCAGCACAGCCACAAGCAACACAUUUUCUUUCUUUGAGUUAGUGUUAUGGAUGACACUUGGAAUUCGAUAUAACAUUUCAUUCACCAUUUCAACUAUGCCAUUUCUUGCUGCAACCAAAAAGGCUGUCUCCUUUUUGUCAAUUUUUUCUUCUUCAGCUAGUUGAUCGGAUUCCUUCUUCAUGGUCUGACUUCGUUCUACAGUCUUUUUGUCAUCAACAUCUGUUUUAUUUUCUCCUUCCAACCAUCCUAACUCACUGGUUUCACCUGUCAGUACCAAUGCCAAACAAGGAAAAGUAGAGCUUGUUGUACUUCUUUAUAUAAAUUGAACAUAUACAUAUAAUAAAAUAUAAUGAUUCAGGGUUUUCACCUUUGAACUUAUAAAAAGACGAAAUAAGAAGCUUCAAGAAAUUAUAAAAAGUUCUACAAAAGGAUUUGGUUCUGAUAUAAAGAAAGAACCAUUAAUCCUUUAAAUUUGAAGCUAUAAUUUUCCGAGUUAUAUACCUUGUUUAUAUUGGCUAUAAACAUUAUACAUAUCUGUUUCAACUUUCAUAUCGGUUGGGACACCUCCACUUCCUGUAAAUGAUGCAUAAGGUCUUUUCAAUAGUGCCUUCAAGAGUUGACGACUCCAUACAUGCCUCUUCUUUGUCUUUCUUAUUUCCUUUAAUUCUUAAAAAGCAGGUGUAUUAUCAAUGGUGUUAGUUAAACCAUCUUGCCCUAGAUCAAUAUUUAGCAAGUAGCUAGUAAUAAAUCAAGAAAAUAACAUGAAGAAUCCAUACCCACUCCUGAGAGGCCAAGAGUAUGUACAUAUGCAGACCUAAUAAAUUGUUGAGAGGUUUCAUAAUUUGGAGGAAAAAGUCCAACCCGGGGAGUUCCCAAUUCAAUGGUACACUUUUUAAAUGACGGGUUUUCUGAGUCAUGCUGAUUCUUUGUCGAGGGCAUUUUUCCUUGACCAAAAAAAAUGCGUCAGAAAUAGAUUUAGCUUUGAGAAACCAGUAAAAAAAAAGGAUAUUCCAACUAAUUACAUGUAUUACUCUAACUGAUCCACUCCAAAAUCUUCCCUCAACAUUUAAACACUAAAAGAAUUAUAAUCUAGUACAAAUCACUGUUUCAAGGGCCAGGCAUACCAACCAAUGGAAUAUAUAUAUAAAUUUCAAAAUAUAUUAACUUUUGAUGAUAAAAAAAUAAUAAUAGACCAACUCUUAUAAUAUGAGUUACUCAAUUUUAAGGUUUAAAUAUAACAGUUAUAAUAGGGCAGCAAAGAUAAAAUGAAAAUAAAUUAUGUGAAAAACUUAUAAAACGUAAAUACUAUAGAUAUAGAAAACAAAAAAAAAACACUAUAAUUAGUUAUUUUAGUAAGAAACUUUCAAUUUGAAUAAAAACAAGUUUUUAAUAAGCUACUCUAAUAUAGUUCAGAAACUAAUUUAUUUGUUUUAUGAAACACACCAAACUUCCUUCUGUAUGAGUUAAACCGCUAGCCCUUUUUCUGAACUAUACUGUCUCUGAAGACGUGUGUAAUAAAGUAGGUUUGAGUAAAUAUUAAGUAUUAGUAAAGAAAAGAAUAAAGUUAGAUGACAUAAAGAAAACAAGAAGAUAGACGAUAUAGCAGAAUGAAAGUGUUCACAUACCAAAUAGAGCAAUAACACUAAACGAUCGAGCAAAGAAAUCAUAUAGUGUGGCAUAGUUCUUUGGAUAAUCCACUUUAUCAGACUUGGGAUUGUCCAAUAUCUUUCCCAGAUUCGCGUUCAUUUGUUUCACAGGAUCCAGUGGCUCUACAAGUAUACCUUUCACACACAAAAAAGUAAGCAGUAUAUGUAUAUAUAGAUAGAACUUCGUAUUUAUGACAGUAAAAAUGCACAUUUUAAAAACUUAUGUAAUAAUUUUUUUGAACACUUUUUAUAGUAUUAUAAAUUGGAGGUCUCAAGUUAGGUCUCAAGUUACUGUGAACAUAUAUUUAAACAAAACAUACACCAUUUUAAAUCUGAAAUUAGAAUACACUUAUACUUGGAAACAUGGCCCUUUCAACCUAGUUCGUGAUGUUAAUAUUACUUACAGUGGUACAGGAUUCGCUUCCACCAUGAAAGUUUGGUAGCACUUUUGAAAGCCGACGGCCUGGUUGCAAGGAGUUUGAGAGGAGUGAAUCCCUCUUUAUUCUUAUGUGUGCUAAGGAAAUCAUAGUAAUGCACUAUUAUCACUGCCAAAUCUGCACCAUAUCCAUAAAAGCAUAUAUACUAUUCAGUAUAUAGAGCGUUCUGUUAUUUCAAAAUAAAAAUACAACAUAUUAAGUAAAGUUGCUAAUCCUAAGUAAAGAAUAUAUCGUGUUGUUAAUCUACAUCAUUUCAACAACAAAUUCAAUCUCAAUUUAUCUUCCUCUUGUUCUAUACAAAGUGUUCCAACGCUGGAAUACCACCAACAAAAACAAUAUAUAUAUAGUAAUGAGAAUAUAUAGCCUCCAAGUAUAUCCACAAGCCCCCAACAUUUAUUAAGAAUUAAUAUAAUGUGAUAAUAUGUUACAUAAUGUUCGGAUAAAACUAUAACAUAGUGGUCUAAACAUAUCGAAAUAGUGAUAUAAAAUAUAGCAGGAACAGAAGAUAGGUAUGAGAAACAUACCGAAAUACUCUCUCCUGAUAGCACAGUGAAGAAUAGUGUCACCAUUGUGUCGCACAAGAUCUUGCAAGGGAGCGCUGUGGCCGGAAACUUUAGAAAGAUAAGCAAAGGCUUGUUUCUUCCAGUUGAUGGCAGCUCCAAAGAGAGGUGUCUCUCCAUGUUUGUUCUUUCGACUCACCAAGUAAAUCCUCUCGUUCUUCGUUCCUAUGAUCCACCUACAUAUCUUUGCGAAACCCCUCGAAGCCGCAACAUGCAGAGGAGUAUCCCCUCGAUCGUUCACCAUUUCCAGUGCCUUGAUCUUCACUUCAUGUCUGUGUCCGAUAACUGCAUUCACAAGGUCAUAAACCACAUCUUCUUCGUCCAAAUCCACGGCCACGUGCAAUGCAGUGCCCACGGAACCGUUAAUCAUUGCCGUGUGACAUGCUGGGACUUUGUUGUACAUCUUCACAACCUUCUGCCAUUUCCCUUCCAAUGUGUACUCCGCCAGCUGAUCACUCACUUCAUCUGAUGAAUUGUAAGACAACUCCUCCUCAAAAUUUCCAGGAUCCAUGCUUCUUGAACUUCAAUUAACGAGAAUGUAUGUUUGUCUCAACUACUGAAAUAAUGCGUUACUAUUUUCUGCAUGCGUCUUAUAUAUACCAAAUAAGGACUCUGAUACUUCAACUUCACAUGUUAUGUUAUGUUAUGUCAUGUCACUUUUUCUAGGUGACAAGGGAAGAAUAAUUUUUGGAGAUAGUAAGAUCUUGGAGGUUGUUAUGGAUGGACCAAUCUUCAAUGAGACUUUUGUGAACGAGGAAAGAAAAGAAAAUAUUCUAACCUACGCACACUUCAUCUUAGGCUCUUUUUCUCUCUUUUUUUCGCCAGCGGGGUCACAUAAGUGUUAUUGGUUUCUUAAGAAAAAACAAACAUUACUUAUUUCACUUCAGUAGCUCUGGUAAAGUACAAGUUCCAUAAACUUCUUCCUUUUUUUUCGACCGGCUGAUUUGUCAGGACCCUUUUUCUUUAGCCUCUUUUCACUGUUACUGAACAAAUUGCUGUUAACCUAACCAUUUUUCAAUAGACUAAAGUGCUGAAAAAUGGUAUUUUUGGUGCAUAACUUUAACUAGUGUUAAAAUAUGGUGGUCUGAAUUAUUUUACUUUAAAAUUACUGUGAUAGAAUAAUCAAAGAAUGAACAAUCAAGACAAUGAAGUCAUCAACUCUGCAUAUCAAAUACUAUUAGAAAGUUUUGAUCCUCAAAUUAGAAUUAGCCAAAACAUCAAGCACAAUAAGGAUAAAAGCAAUCACAAUGGUACAAUAAACAUAUUUGUAGGAAGGUCUUUUCUCUAUGGGCCGGGUUUUGGUUUGAAAAAAACUAUAUUGUCCAUUGGCAGGACGAUCCCAAACCUAGAAAAUGAUCGGGACUAUUUCUUCCUGCACCUCCAUAUAUUCUUCUGUCACCUCCACACAAAAUAUGAAAUUACUUUUUUAUUCUUCUUGUGUCACCCCCAUAGAGUAGCUUCCAGAUUAUGUAAUCCGAACACGCAUUUGAAAAAAGACUUCUGGAUUACAUAAUCCAUAAGCUUAAAAAGACUUCCAGAUUAUGUAAUCUGGAAACUAAUUACGAAUUUGAAAAAAGAUUACAUAAUCCAGAAUAUUACAAAGGAAUAUUUUUGGAAAUACAAAAAUUUAUGGAAGUGGAAGAAGAACAUAUGGAAGUGCAGGAAGAAACAGUCAAUGAUCAGUUAAGGUGGGUCGUGGGCACCAUACUAUGUAAAAAUACAUUUUUGUUCUUUAGUUAAAAAUAAAUUAAUCUUUAAAAUUUCACACAUCUUUUACAUCUUCUUUCUUCUUUCAUUUUAACUUAUCCGGUACACUAUUUUCUUGCAUUUGUUUGUCAUUGAUUUGAGUGUCUUUUGUUUUAUUUUAAACAUUCCAGAUUACAUAAUCUGUAAUAUUUUUUUGAUCUGGAAUUGUUUCUCUAGAUUUAUAGAAUCCAGAAACAAUUUAAAAAAAAUAAUAUAUAUUUCAGAUUACAUAAUUAGAAAGCUAAUCUCGAUUUCGAAAAUAGUUUCUAGAUUAUGUAAUGCAAAAUAUAUUUUAAAAGAAAUAAUAUUAUAGAUUACAUAAUUCGAAAGUCUUUUUCUGAAUUUGAGAAUAGCUGGAUUACAUAAUCCAUAAGCUAAUCUCAUAUCUAGAACAAAACUUCUAAAUUAUAUAAUUCAGAAACUAAUAUCAAAUCUGAAAAAACACUUAUGUAUUAAGUAAUUUGGAAGUUAAUCAUUGAUUUGAAGAGACUUCUGAAUUAUGUAAUUCAAAAUAUAAACUACACUUUAAUUUUUUUUACAGAAAAACAUUUUUGGAAUAAAAAAACUUAUGAGGGGAACUCAAUAACCUAACCUAUGGAGGUGCAGUAAGAAGCAACCAUCACUUAAUUGUGAGGGUCCCUUAUCAGCAAUGACAUGGUUGGUGUGUCAUAUAAGCUAAUUUGUAUGGAAAAAUUUACUUUUGACAACCUACAUUUUCUCUUGCUUGCAUUUAUCAACUAUAUAUUUAAUAAAAUAUUAAAUUAAAACAUAAAUUAAAUUAUUGAAAAAAAGACUAAUAAAAGUGAUUUGUGGAAUAGUAGUAUAAAGUUUGAUGGAAGUGAAAGUUUCAGGUCCCAAUUUAUAUACAAGGACAUGGGCAUAGCAGAACAUAUAUAAUAGUCUAUUUGAACGUAAAUAGAAAAAAGAGAGUAAAAUAUCUAUGUAUAGUCGGAAGGCGACCACCAUUGUUGAUAUGAAGAUUAGGAAGGGAAUAGCAUUAAAAUAGUUUUUGGAUCUUGAUAACAUAUUAUUUGCAGAAAAAUAAUAUGUUCACAGAAGACGUGACAAAACAAUAAGAGAGACAACACAAAAAAAGAAAGAAUUGUCUAUUAAAAAAUUGUUUUUGUAUCACUGCUUGGUAAAGAGAAUGUAAAUUGAAAAACAGUUUGCAGGCUGUGAUUCUCAUUUCUCUCAAUGUAAGGUUGAACUCAAAUUUAUUUAAAGCAUUACUGUUCAGAAACUUUUCUCCUCAAUCGGAACUUUCCAAGAAACCAACAGAACCUUGCUACAAUUCAAAAGCUAUUUUUCAUAGCUAAAAAAAAUGCAUUCACACCAAACUUGCUUGAUAUUUACCCGGAAAACAAGCUCACAAUCACUCUUAAAUAUCAAAAGGGAAAAUUGAUUUGAAUGACAAUUGCAUGAAUGAUGAAUCCAGCACAACACAUCCUAUAACUUGGCUCCUUUAUCAGCUGUCCAUGGCACCGUAGCUAGAAUGGCCGUGAUAAGAUCAAAGUAUAGUGGAAACUGUGCCACAGCAUAGAAAAUGACUGGUAAAACAGUGGCUGCAUAAAUGGGGUAUAGAACCAUCUUGAAUCUGUGACUAAGCAGAAAAUAAUGACCGGAGCAGAAAGAGACAAACAUUGCAGCAAUGGAUACAAAGAGAGAACUCAGGCCUAGAAGAACUUUGAAUGGCAAAGAUCUGCGAAAAUCUUUGGAUUGCUUUCGAGAAGUGAGAAUGGUAAGGAACAUUAUGAGUCCAGUGACAGAGAAGCAAAGUCCAACAAGUGAAGCAACGGCAAAUAUAUCGAAUGCAGGCUUGCCUUCUAAACGAGGCCUACCUUGUUCAUCGGUGCCACCGGGGAUGGCGCUGGCAGUAGCAAAGGAAACACCAGCAACAAGUGCAGCCACAACAGAACAAGAUUCAGAUGUUUCCUUCAGCCAAUUGCCACUUUCAUGUAUCAGGCUUUUAUGUGUUUCCUCGAAUAUUUGCCCUGCAGUUUUCCCCCGAUUGUCGCUUCUAAAGUAAAAGUGUUGUGGCACAAGGCUUUUAAUAUACUGCUCCAAUGAAAAACAAUAAAGGCUCAUUCUAUGAAAUACCCUAGUAAUCAAUGUACAAAACAUUAAAACAACAAUCUUGAUGUGUUGACAACUCAAAGUAACAUUUGUUUGUGUAUACCUGAAACCACUUUAUAUCCCACAUCAUUUGCAAGGCAGAACCAGCUAUCUGUGGAGACUUGUCGCCCCCUGGAGCAUAUGCUGCCCAGUGCAAUAUGGUGUUCUCAUUUUCAUCUACUGUCAGAGCUAAAUUAUUCCAAACUUCUGGUUUUGACUGCAUCUUCAUUUUCAAAUUCUCAACAACAAAGGGUUGCCUGUUCAUCACUGCCACCAGCAACACAUUCUCUUUAUGUGAAUUAGUGUUAUGGAUGACACUUGGAAUUCGGUUUAAAAUUUCAUUCACCAUUUCAACUAUGCCAUUUCUUGCUGCAACCAGAAAUGCUGUCUCCGUUUUGUCAAUUUUCUUCUCAGCCACUUUAUCACUUUCUUUCUUAAUUGUGUCACUUGGGCUUAAAGAUCUUUUGUCUAUAGCCUGUAUUUCUUUUUCUUCCUUUUCCAACCAUCUCAAUUCAUUAGCUGCACUAGCUUCACCUGUCAGUAUGAAGUCAAACCAGAAAAGGUAAACGUUGUUCUUUAUCUUCACAUACAUAUUUUACAGACAAAAGAAUUUUAUUAAUAAAACUUCUAAGCAUGUUUAAGGAGAUUGCUUUUUAAAUUUAUUCAUCAUUGUCAAUUUUUUAAAUUAGUUUUGAAGGUAUGGAAAUGACUAUAAAUCGUAUAGCGUAUCAAGUUUACAGCAUCUUUUAUUCAUUUGUUGAUUGUACCAUGUUAGACCCUUUAUUUAUUGGACGAUGAACUAGAUGUUUACUAGUGUUAGACACUACAUAAUAGUUUUUCUGAUUUCUAAUAAACUUAGGUUUAUAAACUAAAUUAUUGAAAUAAAAAUUAAUUUUAAAAAUGAAAAUAAUUAGUCGUUAUAUUAACUAAAUUAGAAAAUCUUUUAUAAACUAAAACAUUAUUGAAAUCUAAAAUAGUUUCUAUUAUUAAUAAAAAUUUAUAAAGUAGUUUCUAAAUUAGUAUCUAACUAUUAUUUAUUAACUACUUAGGUUUAGUAUUUCUUAAUCCUUUCAUAUUCAUUCUAUGUAAUUAUUUCUUUAAACAAAGUCUAUUUCUUCAUAGAUUUUGACUUGAGCUUCAUCCAUCAGACACUGGGUGCUAGUUCAAAAACAUCGAAACAAUUGUGUAUUUAAAUUAUUGAAAAGUGUAUUUAAGCCUAACUCAGAUUCUAUAUAAUUAAUCUAAGAAGAGUGAUAGAAAACACAUAAAUUUCACGUAAUAUAGUUAGCAUAAGAUAGAGAGUUGGUUUUUGCAUACGUACAUACCUUGUUUAUACUGGUUAUAAACAUUAUACAUAUCUGCUUCAACUUGAAUAUCAGUUGGGACACCCCCACUUCCUGUGAAUGCUGCAUAAGGUCUUUUCAAUAGUGCCUUCAAGAGUUGACCACUCCAUUCAUGCCUCUUCUUCGUGUUCCUUAUUUCCUUUAAUGCUUAAAAAAGCACAUCAAACCAGAUCAAUCCUAUUAAUUAAACCAUUAGCUAGCAAUAGAUCAACAAAUUAGCACCAAGAACACAUACCUACUCCUGAGAGCCCAAGAGUAUGUACAUAUGCAGACCUUAAAAAGUGUUGACUGGUUUCAUAAUUUGGUGGAAAAUAUCCAACCUCGGCAGCUUUAAAUACGAUUUUACGCUUCUUCUUUGAUGGUUUUUCUGAAAAAUGUGUAAGAAAUACAUUGAGUAUUGAGAAACUAGUCCCCCAGAAAAGAAAGAAAAAAAGAGAAGAUAGAAUCAGAACCCGUUACCAAUUGGAGCAGCAAGACCUCUGAAUAUAGCAAAGAAGUCACAUAAUGUGACAUAGUUCUUUGGAUAAUUCAGUUCCUCAGAUUCUGGUUGCUUCUUCAUCUUUUCCAAAAUUUUCUUCAUUUGUUUUUCAGGGUCCACUUGUUCCACAAGCAUACCUUUUGACAAAAGAAAAAAAUAUUUGCAAUGUACAUAGAAAUUUUACAGAUUAUUGUACUUACGAUUAGUAAGUGUGAUCAUUUUUAAAAAUUAUAUAUCACUAAUCAAGCUAAUGGAUCAAUAAUCCUCUCUUUUCUAAACAAAAUAAAGCAUACGCCUGUAAUUAACCUGAUUUAAAUCUGAAACUAGAAAGUUUUUCUUAUUUUACCAUUGAAAGUUGUCAAAUUAAUUUUAUUUUAUAUACAUGAACAUGAUUUUAGUAAAACGAUGGACAUUUGAUGAUUGUUGGACAAAUUGAUUUAUCAUUUGGUUUGGUGAAGUAAAGGCAUUAUGCUGUUUUUUGGGUGAGUUUAAGCACUUGACAGCUGUAAAAGCUCCGCUCUGUGAAUCUGGAGCAGCAAGAAAUUGAAAGCUAAAGUGAGGAAAAUAUUUCUUGGGAGAAUUUGGUGCAAUUUUGUAGAACCUCAGAGUUGGGAUUAACGGCUGUAGGUGCAGGGGAGGUAUCAUGCAGAGGUGUCACCUAGAGGAAGCAAAUGGCGUGGGGGUAGUUGGUAUGCAGCUUUUGAAGCUUCAAUUUUGGAUUCAUGAUUCUGGUCUAGAGGUUAUGAAGCUAAUCUAUGAGGCAGCAGUUGGUAAUGCUAAGCAGCUAUGGUAUGGAAAGGGUGCUGACAGAGAGAUUCUGUGUGUAUGGGAGCAUCAUUAUGGGGUUUCUAUGACUUUCUCCACGAGGUCAUGCAGUUGUUAAAUGCUUUAGGAAGCAGAAGGGGAUCUAGGAAAAGUUCUUUUGGCACUAGCAGGGGGCACUGGUGUUAAUGCUACAAGGGUCAUCAAGAACCAAGCAAACGGAUGCCAAUUGGAAGGGAGAAAGUUUUCUGGUCCUGUUUUUGGUGCUGCAUACUGCAUAAUUAUGCAGCUCUUGUUCUGUUUUUGGUGCUGUAUACUGCAUAAUUAUGUAACUUUUAGCCUUUGGUUAAGCUGUUUUUGUGUAGGAAGCAGUGUGGAUUUGUUUUUAUGAUGUAUUUUUGAAUUUGUAGUGAUUAUGAACUUGUUAGUUACAUACAGAGGUUGAAGAUAUUUGUAUAAAGAUUCAGAUACCCGAAUUGUUGUCUUUUAAUUAUUAUUUAUUCAUUGCUCAUAAAAAGUUAAAAGAAUUUAAACUUUUAUUUGAUUAAAACUGAUAAAAUAGUAGCUUUUAAGUAAAAUGGAUAGUUUACACUGAUACAAGUAUCUAAAUAUUACUUCAUUUCAUGAAAUACGGUGUAUAGAUACGAUAUAUUAACAUCGUAGAUAUAUAAUAAUACUUGGAUGGUGAUAUAGUAGAAAACAUACAGAUAACAAACCAGUAAAAUAAUAUUUUCCAGAAUACUUACAGUGGUAGAGGAUUCGCUUCCACCAUGAAAGUUUGGUAGCACUUCUGAAGGCCGAGGGCCUAGUAGCAAGGACUGUGAGAGGGGUUAAUCCCUCUUUAUUCUUAUGUGUGCUAAGGAAAUCAUAAUAAUGCACUAUUAUGACAGCCAAAUCUGCGCCAUAUCCAUAAAAACAUAUACACAUUAAUGAAAGAAUUAAUAUAAUGUAAUAAUGUGGUCUAAAAGAAGAUAGGUAUGAGAAACAUACCAAAGUACUCUCUCUCGAUAGCACAGUGAAGAAUAGUGUCACCAUUGUGACGCACAAGAUCUUGCAAGGGAGCGCUGUGGCCGGAAACGUUAGAAAGAUAAGCAAAGGCUUGUUUCUUCCAGUUGAUGGCAGCUCCAAAGAGAGGUGUCUCUCCAUUUUUGUUCUUUCGACUCACCAAGUAAAUCCUCUCCUCCUUCGUUCCUAUGAUCCACCUACAUAUCUUUGUGAAACCCCUCGAAGCCGCUACAUGCAGAGGAGUAUCCCCUCGAUCGUUCACCGUUUCCAGUGCCUUGAUCUUCUCUUCAUGUCUGUCUCUGGUAAUUUCAUUCACAAGGUCAUAAACCACAGCUUCUUCGUCUAAAUCCACGGCCACGUGCAGUGCAGUGCCCACGGAUUCGUUAAUCAUUGCCGUGUGACACUCUGGGACACGCUUGUACAUGUCCACAACCUUAUCCCAUUUCCCUUCCAAUGUGAACUCUGCCACACAGUCACUCAAUUUAUCUGAUGAAUAGUUCGUCAAAUCCUCCUCAGAAUUUUCAAAACUUUCAGAAUUUUCAAAAUUUCCAGGAUCCAUCCUUCUUGAACUUGAAAUAAUAUGAGAAUUAUGUUUGUAUGUAUGUAGUGUUAUUUAACAUGGCAGGAGGAGACCAUUGUAGCACUGAUGCUUCAACUUCACAUGUUUUACCACUUUUCUAUUUGACACGGGAAGUAUAAUUUGAGAGUACUGUCAUGAAUGGACCACUCUGAGUUUAUGACACUGUAGCAAACACCAAAGAAGAGAAAAAGAAAACAUAUAUUCAUAUGGUUAUGAUGAAGAAAUAAUCUACGUUACACUUUUUUAAAUACAUUUUUUUAGUAAUUUAUUAAAAAAUAUACAAAUGUUAUUAGUCUUACAUUUUGUUUAGUAUGAGUUGUAUGAUUUAAGAGGAAGGAAGAUAAAUAUAAAAAAAAAUAUUACUUUCACAACAUUUUUGUUUUACAUCUUCUAUUAGUCCACAUUUCACAAUAAAAGAGUAUUUCUCAUUUUUUUUACUUCUAUUAAUUAUAUUAUGGAAUAAUUUGUUGUUAGAUUGUGAACAUAUGAGAACUCAUAAAUAAAAAUAUAUAUAUAGAGUAAUAAUAAGUUGAUAUUGGAUUAUCUUCCUUUCACAUUUAAAUAAAUUUAUUAUUUUAUUAUAAUAAAAUAAAAUUGUAGAGUGAUUUUUUUUCCUUUGUUAAACAAACUUUAUAUAUAUAUAAUAUUGUAAAAGAAUUAUUAUUUGGUUUGAGAUCAGUCUCAAAAAUGUUUUUUUUAUUAAAUCGCUUUUCAAAUUAAUAUUAUCACUGAACCACUCCAAAUUGUUGGGAGUGGCCUACUGAGUUUAUUGGAUUCGAAAGAAAAAUAAAGGGUUACUUGUACUACAAAAAAGUACAACCUCCAUUUUUUGUUCUUUCUGUUGAUUCUUUUUCUUCAAUUUUUCUGUUUAUUAGUAAUGGUAGCUGUAAUGACCUUUGGUUUUUUAUUCUUUUCGACUUCUCAGUGUGACUGAACAACAAAAUUUGGAAAAAAAAAUAAAGCAGAAAAAUAGUUGUUGCUCCAUGGGCUGCAGAGAACUGUUAUUGUAAAUUGAUGGAACCAAUUAUGUGUUUGGAAUUUUGUUAGGAAUUUCCUGAGAAGUUAUGAUAGAAUGAAAAAGAAAUGGGAUGAGAGGAGACUGACAAUGUUAUUAACUUAAAAUUGAGUGUAGAUAAAGAAAGGAGAGUGACAAUGUUAUUAACUUAAAAUUGAGUGUAGAUAAAGAAAGAAAUAUUGCGUGGUAAAAUUUUACACUAGUUAGAGGUUAAUAGUAGUUAAUAUACAUUUUUUUUCCUUUUAAUUCAUUAUAUUUUAAUUCAUUAUAUGGAGGCAUACAAUUUCAGACUCAAUUCUCUAUCUAGCACCAUUUACUCUUUUAUUUUCCUAUCUAGCAUCAUUUUGUUUUUAUUUUCCUAUCUAGCACCCUUUUAUUUUUAUUUCCCUAUCUAGCACCCUUUUAUUUUUUAUUUCCCUAUCUAGCACCAUUUCAAAAAAUAAAUAAAUAAAUAAUAAAUUUUUUUUAAUUUUAAUUUUGAAUACAUUAAAAUUUAAGUAUUUUUAAUGUUUAAAAUAGUUAGAAAUAUAAUUAAUGAAUAAAGAAAUGAGAUUUUACAAAAUAAAAAAAAAGUAAUAAAUUAAAAAUGUUUAGUUUAAAUUUUUUUUAAGAAUGAAGAAAAUAAAAAAUUAAACUCUACAACAACAUAAAAGUUGAAUCUAUAAACAUAAAUUAGUAUUUAUUUUUAUUAUUAUUGAUGAUGUAAUCAUGUUAAUUUCAAGUAAAAAAUACAAGACAUAAUUUUUUUUAUAAAAAUAAGUGUAUUUUUAGAAGCCUAGUGUGUAAUUUGUCUCUUUUCUUUGUCUUUUCUGAUAUAUAUAUAUUAGUCUUCUUCUUUGGUUAAAAAAAAUUAUAAAAAAAUCAAAGUCAAUUAGUAUUAAUUAAUAUUGAACGCACAAAUAAUAUUGAAGUGUUUAUCUACCCUAAAUGCAAAAUCCUAAAAAAAACUAAUGCAAUUGCUACACUUAAUGCUUAAAAAUGAGAAGAAGAAAAAUAUAAAAAUAAAUAAAUAUAGAAAAUAAAAACAGCAACAUUGAAACAAAUCUUUCAUGUUACGAAAGACUAUUUGAUGGAACUCCUAAGAGAUGAAGAGUAUUAACAUGCAUACACUGGUCAAAUACUAUGCCAAAGUCCCAACAUGAAAAUAACCUCAAAGGGGAUACCUAAGUCAAGUCGAAUAAGGACUGAUAUGGACAUAAGAGAAUACCAUGAUCGAACAAACAAAUGUUCAUAUUGUCAAACACCAUGACACAAAAAGAACAUGUCCCAACAUUAUUGGAUUGUGCACUUCUCGUCAUUAAUUAUAUUUCAUUUCGCACAAACUAUUUAAUGUACCAUUAAAGAAAAUAUUAAAUGAAUGAUCAUCUUUCAUUUUUUUUUUUUAUGAUCAACAUCUACUUAUUUAGUAUCGUCUUAUAUCUCUUAUCUUUAUCUUGUUUGGAUUUUUACUUUUUUGUAUAUCUUGUAUAUUUAUCUUAUUUUGUUUUGUCUUUAUUUUAUAUCUUAUAUGUGUUUUAGUUAUUAUUUUUUUCUGUUAUUGUUUAUUUAUUUUUGUUUUUUGUUUUUGUUUUAUUAUUGCUGUUUUUAUUUUCUAUACUUAUUUAUUUUUGCAUUUUUUUCUUCUCAUUUUUAAGCAUUAAGUGUAGCAUUUGCAUUAGUUUUUUUUAGGAUUUUGCAUUUAGGGUAGACACUUCAAUAUUAUUUGUGUGUCCACUAUUAAUUAAUACUAAUUGACUCUGGUUUUUCUAUAAUUAUGUCCUAUAUUUUUUACUUGAAAUUAACAUAAUUACAUCAUCAAUAAUAAUAAAAUUAAUACUAAUUUAUGUUUAUAGAUUCAACUUUUAUGUUGUUGUAGGGUUUAAUUUCUUAUUUUCUUCAUUCUUAAAAAAAUAAUUUUAAACUAAAAAUUUUUAAUUUAUUAUUUUUUUAUUUUUAUUUUGUAAAAAGUCAUUUCUUUAUUCAUUAAUUAUAUUUCUAACUAUUUUAAACAUUAAAAAUACUUAUAUUUUAAUGCAUUCAAAAUUAAAAUUAUAAAAAAAAAUUAAUUUAUUAUUUAUUUAUUUAUGAAAUGGUGCUAGAUAGGAAAAUAAAAAAUAAAAGAGUGCUAGAUAAAGAAAUAAAAACAAAAGGGUGCUAGAUAGAGAAAUAAAAACAAAAGGGUGCUAGUUAGGAAAAUAAAAGUGUAAAUGGUGCUAGAUAGGGAAUUUACCCUACAAUUUCAAAGUAACAAUAACUUAAAUAUGAAGAUUAAUAUUAAUUUUAUCUUAACCAAUUAAAAAUAAGUCUCAUAUUUUUUGUGAAGAAAAUGCAUCUACUCAUAAGUUGACUAAUUUAAUUAUUCAUAGAGAAUAUUUAUUUCAUUGGUAUAAUAGACUUUCAUAUAGUCAGUUAUUAGAAUUCUUUAUGAAUAUAUAUAUAUAUAUAUAUAUAUAUAUAUAUAUAUAUUACUUAGUUUUAGUUAGUNNNNNNNNNNNNNNNNNNNNNNNNNNNNNNNNNNNNNNNNNNNNNNNNNNNNNNNNNNNNNNNNNNNNNNNNNNNNNNNNNNNNNNNNNNNNNNNNNNNNUUAACUUAAGACCGUCAUAUUGUAGAUGAGCAAUGAUCAUCCAAUCUAUUUCUUUAAUGUGUAUCAUUUUUCCGCAAAUCUCAAUGGCAAGGUGACCAGCAGGUGUGAAUUUUGCAUUUGUAUAAAAUACUCUUACCAAAUCCUCAUAAUACGGAAGAUUAAUUCCAAGGAAAGGUUGUAAAAUUGCCAAUUCAGAAGAUUUUGGAAUUCAAAUCCUGAACCAACAAAAAAUGGAGUAUGCAUCACUUUUGGUGGUAAUAUUGCUCUUGCGUGAAAGUUCUUUUCAAAAACCACCAUUUGACGCCUAGUACUGAAGUAUCUUGAAUAAUCAAGAACUUCUGGAAUCCUCGUUGGUGGAGAAGGAAUGUCAACAUCUUCUGCUGGAGAUUUACCCUUACGGGUUCUGUUACGUUUGUGGGAUGAUGAUGUCAUUUAUAAUGCAAUUACUACAAUAAAUAACUAAACAGAAGUUAACAUAAUAUCAUAAAGCAAUAAUGCAAGUUCAAAAACCAAAAUAUUACAUUGCUAAUGAAAGUAGAAGUUCACAGAGCAAAAUAUUACAUGUCCAAUAACUAACACAGACAAUCAAAUAUUACAUGCCCAAUAACUAAGAAAGACAGUCAAAUAUUACAUGUCCAGCUACUAACAAAGACAGUCGAAUUUUAACACCAAUAAUUAAUGUGAAAUACAAAUUAAAAAAAAAUUAAGUCAAAAUCAUAUUUUUACUCAAAACUUUGACUGUUUUUUUAAAUUACUAAAAAUCUUUUUUAAUGUUUUUAAUUAUAACAUUAAUAAAUUAUGUUAAAUCUACAAAAAUGAAAACCCUAUAAAAAUAUUUUUAAAAUUUUUAAUUUCAUUAUGUCUAAAUUAAAUUUUGUAAAUCUUUUUUUAUGAACAAUUCAUUUUUAAAUAAAUAAUAACUUUGUACAUUUAUUAUUAAAAUAUCAAUUAAAAAUACAACUUCUAAAAUAUCAAUUACUUUUUAAAAAACCUACUAAUUACAAAUUUCUAUUUCAAAUUGUAAAAAUAUUCAUUGUACCUUAAUCAUUAAUUUUAUUCUUUAAUCACUACAACAUUCUGUAAAAAUAUUAUUUCUUAUAAACAAUUUAAUUUUGAAACACUAAUUACUAUCUAAAAUUAUUAUUAAAAAUUCAUAUUUCUUAUGUAAUGUUUUUCUGACUUUUUAAAUUACUAUAACAUUUUUUUAUAACAUUUAAUUCUAACACCAAUAAUUAAUGUGAAAUACAAAUUAAAAAAAAUUAAGUCAAAAUCAUAUUUUUACUCAACACUUUGACUGUUUUUUUUAAUUACUACAACAUUUUUUUAAUUUUUUUAAUUAUAACAUUAAUAAAUAAUGUUAAAUCUACAAAAAUGAAAACCCUAUAAAAAUAUUUUUAAAAUUUUGAAUUUUAUUCUGUCUAAAUUAAAUUUUGUAAAUCUUUUUUAUAAACAAUUCAUUUUUAAAUAAAUAAUAACUUUGUACAUUUAUUAUUAAAANNNNNNNNNNNNNNNNNNNNNNNNNNNNNNNNNNNNNNNNNNNNNNNNNNNNNNNNNNNNNNNNNNNNNNNNNNNNNNNNNNNNNNNNNNNNNNNNNNNNNNNNNNNNNNNNNNNNNNNNNNNNNNNNNNNNNNNNNNNNNNNNNNNNNNNNNNNNNNNNNNNNNNNNNNNNNNNNNNNNNNNNNNNNNNNNNNNNNNNNNNNNNNNNNNNNNNNNNNNNNNNNNNNNNNNNNNNNNNNNNNNNNNNNNNNNNNNNNNNNNNNNNNNNNNNNNNNNNNNNNNNNNNNNNNNNNNNNNNNNNNNNNNNNNNNNNNNNNNNNNNNNNNNNNNNNNNNNNNNNNNNNNNNNNNNNNNNNNNNNNNNNNNNNNNNNNNNNNNNNNNNNNNNNNNNNNNNNNNNNNNNNNNNNNNNNNNNNNNNNNNNNNNNNNNNNNNNNNNNNNNNNNNNNNNNNNNNNNNNNNNNNNNNNNNNNNNNNNNNNNNNNNNNNNNNNNNNNNNNNNNNNNNNNNNNNNNNNNNNNNNNNNNNNNNNNNNNNNNNNNNNNNNNNNNNNNNNNNNNNNNNNNNNNNNNNNNNNNNNNNNNNNNNNNNNNNNNNNNNNNNNNNNNNNNNNNNNNNNNNNNNNNNNNNNNNNNNNNNNNNNNNNNNNNNNNNNNNNNNNNNNNNNNNNNNNNNNNNNNNNNNNNNNNNNNNNNNNNNNNNNNNNNNNNNNNNNNNNNNNNNNNNNNNNNNNNNNNNNNNNNNNNNNNNNNNNNNNNNNNNNNNNNNNNNNNNNNNNNNNNNNNNNNNNNNNNNNNNNNNNNNNNNNNNNNNNNNNNNNNNNNNNNNNNNNNNNNNNNNNNNNNNNNNNNNNNNNNNNNNNNNNNNNNNNNNNNNNNNNNNNNNNNNNNNNNNNNNNNNNNNNNNNNNNNNNNNNNNNNNNNNNNNNNNNNNNNNNNNNNNNNNNNNNNNNNNNNNNNNNNNNNNNNNUUAUGCACCAUUACUAAAAAAAGCUCUCACCUCAGACGAACCCAGAUGAAUCACACAGAUCAACCCAGGACGUGAGAUGAACAAGGUAUCCUAACACAAACUAUGAUGGCUUAUAGGAAUCUCUCCAACCACACUACCUUGCACUCUCUAAUGGCUCGGUUUCUUUGGUUUUCUGUGAAUGGAGGAACCACCUUCAUGUUGUUAUAUAGCCAGCUUCACGCCCACCUACCUCACCCACUGCAUUCACUCUCCUUUCACAGUUUCACACAGAGUCAAACGAUUCCUGAGCCAAGUCAGGAAUCUCAUGGCUUCAUGUGGCAUGCAUGCAGGGCCAUUGUUCCUCUUAUUCCAGCAAAAACAAGGGCAACUUUGUAACUUCCUUCGGAUGACUUGGCACUCCCACUCUACAGUGCAACUUUCUCUUCAUCUUUGAGCAGAAGGCGAAUUCACUCAACUUUCUUCGUCCUUCCACACUCACCCGCAACCAUGCAUGGAUCCAAACGAGGUGUUGUUGUGACUUCUGUCGUCGACAACAGUACCUCCCCUGGAUCCAAACAGGGCCUAAGUGUGUAAGAGUUUGGGCCUGUGCUCAUUCUCCCGAUUGUUUCUUUCCGUAUUUAUGCAUUAAUCCUAUUUUCUUUAAAUAUUCAAAUUAUCUUUAAUAUUAUGAUUUAAAAUAGAAAAUAUUUUUAAUUAAAAUAUAUUUUAAAAAUAAAAAAUUCAUAGAAUAAAAAAUCAUUCUAAUUUUUUUUUUGGAAUAUAUUUUUUAACUUUUGAAAUGUUAAACUUAAAAUUCAUAAAAUGUAUUUUGAAAAAUAUAUUUUGAAAAUACUUCAAAAAAAAAAUAAUUUGUAAAUCAUGGGAUAAAAUAGUAUUUUUAAAAAAUGAUAGGGUGCAAGGAGAAAUUUGUUGGGGGUAUUCUCCAUGGUCUAAAUCUAGGUCAAUCUUCUCACCAAAAAAUGAUUUUAAACUUUUUUUCUUAUUUUGAAAGUUUUUUUUUUAUAUUUUUUAUCAAUAAAAAAAAAAUAAGAACAAUUUUAAAGAUGAUAUAAUCAUUUUACAUAAUAAAACAAAAAUGAUCAACAACUACUCUCAAAAGAGAUACCCCGAAAGUUUAUCAAAAGCUGUUAACUCAAAACCACCAAUGACACUUUAGAAAAAGAAUCAACGGAUUAAGAAACCAAUAAAAAAAAUGAAAAUAUGCAAAAACAAAUAUGUAGUUAUAAUCCAAUUAAUAAAACUUGAUAAAAUAGUUCCUAAAGUGAUAUCUAAAUUAGUUAUCUAAGUUUUAAUUACUAAUAUUUUAGAUUCUAAAUUGGUUUCUAAAAGAAUAAUAGAAAAUAAUUUAGAAUAUAAAAUAGUAAGUAGUUAAAACCUUUGGUAGAUAAGAAUUAGAUACCAAUUUAAAAACUAUUUCAUAAAUUUUUAUUAAUAAUAGAAACUACUUUAAAUACCAAUAAUUAUUUUAAUUUAUAAAAUAUUUUUUAAUUUAUUUAAAUAAUAACUAAUUAUUUUAAUCUUUAAAAUGUGUUGUCCUCUUAUAGUAAAUUAGAUGUUGUUUAGGCUAAUCAAUCUAGCAUUGGCUGCUGAUGUUUUGAUAGCAUUGUAUUGGUAUAGGGAUUGAGUUUUGUACAAGGUUAGAAUCUUAAAUACUUUAUUUUAUUUUAUUUAUUUUUUAUUGAUAAAAAAAUAUUUUCAAGAAUCAAGAUGAAUCGUUCAAACUUCUUUUCUCACAUUUUGUGCUAAAAUUCAUCUCCUUUCCUUAUUAAGACACUGCUGUCAUGAUGAAGAUAAGCAAUGUUCUUCUAUCUUUCAAAUCCGUGUUGUUAAGUUUGACUUAUAGGUUUUACAUUUCAUUAUGAUAAUAAUUAACCUUUUUGUGAAAUGUAAUUAUUGUCAAUUAGACUACAAAAGUACCCAUGUUUGAUGUACAUGCAUCAAUUAAGCUUUGGUUGGAGUACAUUAAUUAAAAUAAUAUCAAAUUUAUAAUAUAUAAAUAAAAAUAAUGUUUACUUCACAAAUCGAUUUUGAAAAAAUUAAUUAGAUUCAGAAUCACUUUCUUAUUGUUUUUGUAUAAAGUGCAAUAACUAUUAUGUAGUACACGAAUAGAUAUAUGUGAAGGUGCAUGUAGGAAUUUGAAAAAAAGAAUAAAGAACAUUUGUUUUAUUUUAUUUUUAAAAAAAUUAUAUUUUUUAGGAUAUUAUACUUUUGUUAUGUGGACUUUAGAAAGUUUUAUCCAUUUUCCGAAAGCAAAAAAAUGUGAGCCUUACGAAAAUAUUACACCAGAAAGUAGCAAAAGCCAUGCACUCAAUGAAGAAGAUACUAGACACAAAAUCUAGUAGCCAUUCAUGCACCUGCCUUUUUCCUCUGGACCCAAAUAAAUAAAAGCAUAUUUAAUUUCAUUCAUGUGUUUCACAACCCAACCACACUAACGUGAUCUUUGGUGCAUGUACAAUGGAGAUACUAGAACAGAGUUUUAAUUAAAAAAAAACUUAUUGUUAGACAGAUUUUAAUGGCUUAUACAUUAACUAACAAUAAUUUAUUCACUUUUAACCAAAUUUACCUUCUUCACUAUUUUUUUUACUUAUUAGACUAAAAUAUUAUUUAAGAUAUUCGACCCUACUUCUAAUACACUACCCAUAAUGGGUUAUACAUUAACUAACAAUAAUUGAUUCACUUUUAACAAAAUUUACUUUCUUCACUUUUUUUUUUAUCUAUAAGACUAAAAUCUUAUUUAAGAGAUUCGACCCUAGUUCUACUACACUACGCAAGAACUGAGGAUUAGUCUACUAUGAACUGAGGUAAUAAAACAGUAUCUUGCUCAACCAACAUAAUUUUUUCACCCAAGUACAUGUUACAAUUAGUCCAUAUUUGUUCAGCAAAUGGCACCAACAUACACAACAACUUUUAGUUUCCUGACAAACAAAGUAUUUGUCCAACGAGAAUUGACUCACCCAAUAAUCAAAAUUCUCCACCUUUUAAUUAAAUAAUCACUACAAAAAAAAUCAUAAAAAAAAACUAAUUUUUAAUAACAAAAAUAAUUAAUUGUUAUAUUAAUUAAAUUAAAGACGAUUUUAGAGAUUAAUUUUUUUUUUAUUUCUAGAGUAGUUUUUAUUAUUGUUAAAUGGUUUCUAAAUUGGUAUCUAUUUAGGAAUCACUGUUUUUAUUACCAAAUUUAGAAACUAAAUAAUUGGUAGUUAAAACUUUGGUUGCUAAUUAGGUAUCAAUUUAGAAACCAUUUAACAAUAAUAUAAACUAAUUUAGAAACCAUUUUUUUAAUUUUUAAAAUAGUAUCUAAUUUAAUUACUAUAGCAACUAAUUAUUUUUUAUCUCUAAAAUUAGUUUCUGUUUCAUGUUUUUCUUGUAAUGAAAUUUCAUCUAACAAGAGUUUUACUCGCCCAAAUAUAUAUCCAUAAAUUUAUCAUCAAAUAUGUUUUUAUAAUUAAAUAAAAAUUGAAAAUAUAUUACAUCAACAGAACAUUUUAAUUAAGUUUUUUUUUUCUUCACAUGCAAAAAAAAUAUCAUUCCACAAAAUAGCACAUGGAAGGCAAUGAACACUUCACAUGCCAAACGUGGCGUGGCAAGUUUUUCCGAAUGUGAUAGUUUUGUUUUUGUCAGGAUUUAAAAAAACCUAAAAGAAGCAAGUUCAUAUGGUGAGAAAGAAUAACAUGCUCUGUUAAAAGUUCUAAAUUAUUGUAAAAAGUUUAUUUUCCAUUACUAUAUAAGUUGUUUUCGUAUAAAUUUCUUAGGAAAAAAAAUAUGCCAUUAGUUGAACAUAACACAGUUUGAAUGAAAUGUUAAACUCGAGCCAUAUAUGUACUUUAAUCACUGUCAAGAUUAAAUAUUUGGUUUUUGAAGAUUUUUAAUUUGAAAUGUAUGAAACUCUAACCUUUGUUUUUUUUAAAGAAGUUGUUACAUAAAAAUGAAGGAUUUGUCUCUUUUUAUAAGAAUUUUUUACAUAAAAAUGGAGGUUUCGUCUUGGAGUUGUGGUGGUGAGUAAAAGAGACUUGGAGGUUCUUCAUCCUCAACAACAAAAAAAAAAAAUAUAUAUAUAUAUAUAUAUAAAAUUGUAUAAAACAACACACCACUCUAUCUCAAAUUAGUAAUUCUAAGUUUGACGUUGCCAUUAGUAAUUGUAAUAAUUUAUUUUUGGUUAAAACAUGAAAGUAUGGAAAUGAUUAGAUUAUGGGAACUAGGAAAAAAAUUUAGGGGCCACAUGUGGAUGAUGAAGGGAAGCUUCUGGUUAGUUUAGAAGAUUUAGAAAACAGGGAUAAGAUGUUAAAGUCAGCAAGGGACGGUGGAGUUAAUCUGGGUAAUCUAUGAAAAUUAUAUCUAUGAAUGUAAGAGGUUUUGGGAACCCUGUGAAGUGAAGGUAUAAAAAUGUUAUGCUUACAAGAAGUUAAAUAGCUAACUUUUAGUAAAGAAAAAUGUUGUCAGCUUUGGGGAUAAUGAUAAUGGGUAUUUAUAUAACGAACCUUUUAAUGGGGUAGGAGGAAUUCUAACGGUUUGGCAUAAUAAUUUUUUCCAGUGCAUUAACCACAUCCUCAAAAAAUGGUCCAUAGCGUUCAUAGGAGUCUUUAAAGAGAUUAUUAUACCUGUUGUUAUUGUAAAUGUGUACUCAUGAAGUAAAUUACAAGAGAAAAUGAAAAUGUAGGAUGAACUAAAAGUUGUAAGACUAAGGAAAGCUUGCAAUUCCUGGUGCGUAUUGAGGGAUUUUAAUUCAAUAAGAAAGGAGGGGGGUAAACUGUGGCAGAAGUAAUAAGAGAGAAAUCCAAGGCUUCAACAACUUCAUCGAAAGUAUGGAGAUGGUUGAUAUACCUAGUAUUGGAAGAAAAUACACGCGGUACAAACAUAAUUGAAAGGCAAAGAGUAGGCUUGAUAGGUUCUUAACUUCUUUUGAAUGGUUGCAACCUUGUCAAAGUCAUAGAUGUGUCAUUGACAAGGUCAUAAAUGUGUCACAAUCAACUUUUUUUAUCAAAUAGAGGGCUACUAGAUAGUGUUCUUGUUGUCAAUGAGGUUGUCGAUGAACACAAGAGAAAAAAAGAGGAGCAGGGUAAUUGUGAAGCUUGACUUUGAAAAGGCGUAUGACUCGGUCAAUUGGGAGUUUUUGUACUACAUGAUGGGAAGAUUAGAAUUCUAUGGGAAAUGGAUUCAGUGGAUCAAAGUCUGUCUAGAAUCUGUUACUAUCCCCGUUCUGGUAAACAGCAGCCCAACAAAAGAAUUCAAACCCUCUAGAGGCCUAAGAUAGCGGGAUCCGAUUGCACCUUUCUUGUUUCUAAUCGUGGCUCAAGGCCUAUCCGGAUUGGUAAACCAAGCGACCAGAAAAACCGUUUUUUGGGAAUUAAAGUAGGAAACAAGAAGGUUGAGGUGAAUCUACUCUAAUUUGUUGAUCACACAUUAUUUGUCUUAGAAUCAAGUAUGCAAAAAUAUUAUGACUAUUAAGGCUAUGUUAAGAUAUUUUGAAUUAGGUUUUGGCCUCAAAGUAAACUUCCACAAGAGUAAAAUAGGUGCAGUUGAUGUUGACAAAAACUUGGUCAAUAUGUACUCUGAAAUCCUUUACUACAGCCUAAUGGACCCUUUACCUACUUAGCCCUACCUGUAGGUGGUAACCCUUAUAGAUGCUCUUUUUGGGAGCUAGUGUUAUCAAAGAUAAAAAAGAAACUCUACAUGUGGAAAGGUAAAAACUUAUCCUUAGCGAGAAGAGUUAGCCUCAUAAAACCAGUUAAUUAUCAACAAUAUAUCAUUAUUCUUAUCAUUUUUUAAAGCCCCAAAUGGUGUGUGCAAGGAAAUCAUAAAGAUUCAAAGGAAAUUCUUGUGGGGAUGGGACACAGAAGGGAGGGAAAUUGCUUUGUGUAGUUGGGAGAACAUAUUCAAACCAAAAGAGGAAGGUGACAUUGGUAUUAGACGCAUUGACCUAUUUAAUAAGGCUCUAUUGGAAAAAUGGUUAUGGAGAAUGAGGUCCCCUGAGGUUGGCAUGUGGAAGGACGUCUUAGAAUCGAAGUAUGGAUCUUUGAGGAUGUUAAACUUAAAUACACUGGAUCGAAAUAAGUAUAAAUCUGGAUGGUGGAAUGAUUUAUCCAAAGCAAGCCUCUCAGAUUAGGGAAGUAGAUGGUUUGAUUCAAAUGUGGUUUGGCAAGUGGGAGAUGGCUCAGUUUAAAUUAUGGGAAGAUGAGUGGUUAGACAAUACCCAACUCAAAUAGAGAUAUCCUAAAAUAUACAAAAACUCCCUGGAGGAAGUCAUGCCUUAAAUAAGCAUGCAGGUCUUGAUGCAUAAAUCUGUUAGCCUAAGCUUUUACUAUUGCAUAAUUCAUUUUUGUACAGGAAGUGUUUUGAUACAUAAUUAUGUUCUAUAUGGGAAAUGGUGGAUGAGAUUGUGUAGCCUAGGUUUUUUGAAAAUAGGUUUUGGAAACUUGUAUGAUAUUAAGAAAUAAAUAGUUAGGUGGAUUUUGGUAUUUAUAUAAGGGUUGAGACACCUAUGAAGUGUCUCUCUUAAUUCAUUAAUUCUUUUAUGGAAAAAAAAUGUCUACAUGCAUCUAAAUUUUUCAAAAACAUAACCUAACAUUCAAAGUGUGAACAUUGAAUAUAAAAUUUAUCAGUACUAUAAAUCAUUAAAUAGAAACUAAUUUUAAAAAAUAUAAAUAAUUAAUUUUUAUAUUAACUAAAUUAGAUACUAAUUGAGAUACUAAAAUAAUUAUUGUUAUAUAAAGUAGUUUCUAUUAUUAAUAGAAAAAUUAAAACUAAUUUAUAUUAAUAAUAGAAACUACUUAUAUAUUAAUAGUUUUUUAACUUAUAAAAUAGUAUCUAACUUAAUUAAUAUUUAUUUUUUAUUUACAACAUAAUAAAUAGAAACACUUCGAAAUAAGUGCUCCAAUUUUUUACAAUACAAAAUAGUAUCUAAAGCUUCAAUACCAACUAAGAACACCAUGCUUGUAACAACUAUGAAGAAAAAACUGCAUUGAAUUAUGCAGAAAACCUGCAUCGGAACGUGCUUAACGAAUCAACUCAAACCAACAAAAAGAUGUCUCCCACCAUACACAACACAUUAAAAACACCUCAACCCUUUAAACACAAUCUCCCAAUACUAAUUAACACGUUCAAAACACACAUUUCUCAGCCAUACCAGUAAAAACCAUCUCAUGAACCAACAUAUAUUCCUACCCUCCUUCUUUACUCAUUUAAAGCCAGUCUAUCUCUAUUCCUAACCUGAUUUAUCUUUCUUCCGAAUAGAUUUCAUGUCCACCAUAGGUCCAAACACCAAGUUAAUAUACUAACUAAAUAUUUUUAGUCUGUUAAAUAUCAAUUUUUAUUACUAUGUCAACAUUUAAUGUUAACAUGAUACUGUUCUUAUUACUAUGUCAAAUGUUGACAUGAUAUUGUUCUUAUUGCUAUGUCAACAUUUAAUGUUGACAAGAUCAAGUUAAUAUAUGAAACGAAAUCAGACAAUUAAAAAUAGUAAGGAAAUGAGAGUUUAUUGAAGACUUAAAUACAUUUAUAAUCCUUUUAUUUUGAUUUUCUGAUUUUCUUUUAUAAAAAAAAAAUAAUAAAUAAGGAAUACUUCAAAAAAAAGUGUCUCAACCCUUAUAAAAAAAAACCUAUUCCUCUUACAACUAGCUUUAAACUACAGAAAAACUAGAAACAUUUUCCAGAAAAGAGAGGCUUAAACUUGAGAAAGACUGUUAUUUUUAGUCACUUUAGACAAAAAGAGAGGCAUAAACUUGAGAAACACUGCUAUUUUUAGUGACUUAAGUUAGACAAUGUUAGCUAUGUUUUGUUUAUGUGAUCAUUAUUUGAGUUCUCAAUUAAUAUGUGAAAUAACUCGCAAAACUAAUUUUGGCACUUGAUUCUCAUAUUUGAAAAUCUUAGUCAAAGAUGCAAUAACUUGAGCACCGAAAAUAUCAAACUCGUUGCACCAGCUUGUGACAUUCAUCUACCAUACCAAUUAUUGUUAGGAUGUCUUCAAAGAGAGAAGUGACAAGUACCAACUGGAGUCUCUCUAGCUUGCUCAAAAUGGAAGUUAACAAUGGUGGAUGAUUGUUAGUCAUCCGUUUCGUUCUUAGCAAAUGUUCAUCACUAAACAAUUAUUCGACACAUCAUCAAUUUGUUAAUGACAUCUAACCCUAGGGUCUAAAAAUAACAUGAUGCAAAGUCAAAGACUAAAAAAUGAAAAUUUCUAAUACAAGGAUAAAAACAAAUACAGUAUCCAAUUUGUGUCACUGAAAACAUAUUAAAGUCUUUAAUAAAUUUUCCAUAAACAAAUAUCAAUCAUUAAAUUCAUGUGACAAAUGUUAAAUAGAUUAUUAUUUUUCAUAUCAUUGACAUCACAAACAUCUUCUAACCCAAGCGAUUCAAAAUAGCAUUACACAAAAUCAAAUGACUAAAAAAUGAAAAAAAUAAUAAUUAUAGAAUUAAAAAAUGUACCCAAUUUGAAGGACCGGAAACAUGUUUAAAUUUUUAAUAGAAUCAUAUCAGUUAAUUAAAGUCGUGUCUAAAAUGUUAAAUACCCUUUUGACGUGUUAUAAAAUUAUGAUUAUGAAUUUUAGCUUUAUUUUAUAAUUUUCACGUAUGUCUCAAUUAAAUUUAAAUUCUAAAAUACUAUUUUCUUCAAAUAGUUCAAAGAAAACCAUUUAUAUAAAUAAAUUAACUUAUAUAUUCAUUUAUUUAUUAAUUGUUGUCGAAAUAUUAAUGUAUAUCUAUAAUAUUUUAGUCAUUAUCUCAAUCAAAUCGUUUAACCUAAUUGAUGAAGUAAAAUCCUUUGAUUUUGUAUAAGAAAAUACAAUUUAGAUAAGUUAAAAAUCUCAAAACUUUAAGUAGUACAACUCUAUACGCAUAUAACGUGUUCAUAACAAUUUUUAAUUUUCUAUUAUACAAACUUCGGGUUGGACAAAUCAACAUUAAAACUUAUGCUUAGUAUUGAGAAUUAGAAUAUGGAUGGAGCUGAAUAAUAGCAUAGCAAUAAAGGACAAUCUAUUGGGACGAGGAGUUAUACUGGUAAGUAGCAGCUUGUGUGGACUAUGUGGUGAGGAAGAAGAGAUUGUCUGUCAUUUAAUUUUUAAGUGUAAGGUUGUGUGGAGAAUAUGGGGUUUGUAUUUAUCUUGGUUGGGAUGUUUGUCGAUGAACCAUUUUAAUGCUAAGGUACAUUUCAUAGUAUUUUGCCCUAUAAAUGUUAAAGGAUCAAUAUUUAGAAUCUGGGAAAGGGUGUGGAUUGCAAUUGUAGGUAAUUUAGAAACAUCGGAAUAGGUGUGUCUUUAAGAAUAGGAGAGUUGAUCAUAUAGAUGUGUUUGUGGUGGCACAAAGAAAAGUUUGAACUUGGAUUACGAGUAAAGAAAAAUAUGCAGAGUUCACUUAUUCUAACUGGUGCUUGGAACCUUUAUGAAUUCUGUUAAUUAGUUUUGCUUCGUUUACUUUUGUAUGUAUUGCUAAUUUCUUGUUUUUAGAAAGGAAGAAGUUGUGUGUUUUGCAGAUUGGUUGUAAACAGUUUGUCUCUCUGAUUGGAGUAAGAGGAUAUUACACAAUAUGAGAAUCUUCUUCUUACAUUAGAUUGUAGAGACUCCAUGAAGGAGCAAAAUUUUGUGGUAUUUUAAGGUGUUGUGCUUUUGUAAAUUUUUUUUUUUAAAAAAAAAAUCUCUUAUUUUUUUUGGAGGUUUGUGUAUAAAAUUGAGAGGUGGACUUUAAGUUUAAUUCAACCUCAUAAACCAACCAACUUAUAAGGUGAGGUUUGCACCCACUUAUAUACUAUGAAAUGUUCACAAACUCUCGUUAAGAUAGACUUUAAAUCACUCUGAUACUAUAUUGAGAAGUGGACUUUAAGCCCAAUUCAACCUUAUAAAAUUAACUUAUAAAGUGAGAUUCGUACUCACUUAUAUACCAUGAAAUGUUUUAAUCUCUAGUCAAUGUGAAAUUUCCAAUAUACUACAAUUCAAAACCAAAGAGUUAACACAAGUAAGCUGACUAUUUUUUAUAAAAAAAAAUCAUGUUCUAUGCAUAAGUUAAAUUUGUCUACCAUAAAAAAGUUAAUUAGAUUAACUUUAAUUAACUUCUUCUUUUUUUAUAGAAAAUUUAGUAUUACCAAAUAGAUAGAAUUCGUCGAUAAUAUCAAAAAGUUACGAAUGAACAUUUUCAACGAAGAAGUUACGAACAUAAUUUCAUCGAUAAAUCAUAUUUUUGUUGAUAAUUACCGAUAACCAUAUACCUGUCAAUAAUUACUAACAAAAAAUUUCUUCUAUAAUUACUGACGAAAUUAUACUUCAAUAAUUAUUGAUGGAUAUUCCUUUAGUAAUUACAAACGAAAUUAUCUUUGAGUAAUUAUCCAUUGAAUUAUUCACUAAAUAGUCCAUAGAUCAAUAUACUGUUCGUUAAAUAAUUUAUACAUUAAUAUUUAUUAAGUAAUAGUUAAUAGAUUAAUAAUUAUCAAUUAAAUAAUUAAGAGAUUAUUAUUUAUUCAUUAAAUAUUAAUGGAUUAAUAUAUUAUAAAUUAAAUAAUUUAUAUGUUAAUAAUUUUUAUUAAAUAAAUAUUACAUUAAUAUUUAUUAAUUUUAGUAAUAGAUUAAUAUGUGCUAAUAUGAAUAAUUUUUUUAUUACUUAGUUUAUUUACAAACUCAUAUCUUAUUUUUUUUUCUUUACCGACGAAUAUAAAAAUUUAUUAACGAAGUUACUCUAUUAUUAACUAAUAAUUUAAGUGAUAAAUAUUUUGUCUAACACAUAACAAAUUUUACUUGUGAAUAUUUUAUGUAACACCCUAAAAAUAAUCUCAUACCAUAUAUAAACUUUAUUAAUUCAUAUUAUAUAUAAAUACACCAAUUUAUAUAAGAAGGAAUAUACAAAAUUUAUAUUCUUAUAUUUCUUUUCAAAUGUCGUUCAUACACUUGUAUAAAUACCUGAUUGUCUCCAUAGUACUAUCAUUCAUAACAAACACAUGCAAAGGUAAACUAUCAAAAUAAAAUUCUAACAUACGAAAAUAUAAUUAAAAGAACUUAUAUGAAUAGUAAUUCAUAAUUAAUUAGUUUUCUUUUUACUCAAACACAAUAAUAGAAAAAUUCAAAUAUCAAUCACAAUAAUCCGAUUUCAUUUCAAUCAUAUAAACCACACAUGAAUCUAUUUUCAAUCACAAUAAUUCAAUUUUAUUUUAAUCACAUUAACUACACAUGAAUCCAUUUGUAGUCAUAGUAUCUUGAUUUCUUUUCAAUCACAUUGACUCCACAUAAAUUCAUUUGCAAUCAUAGUACCUUGAUUUCUUUUCAAUACUCAUUACUAUGAUUCAUUUCAAUCACAUUCCAAUACUCAAGACUAGAUUUACACAUUAAUCUAAGAGAAAAUAUCAUGGUAAGUUUAAACAUCAAAUAUCAUAUGAUAACAAACGGUCACGGUGUAUAUGAACUCCCUCAUUAGCUCCUCACCAACUGAAAUCAUAACUUAUGUGACUUAGAUCAUAACUAAAUGAUAAAUACCUAAUUUCAGUAAUAUUUCAUAUUAAAAUAUAGGCACUUAUGAGUGUUAAUUUCUAAAAUACAUAUAAAAUAAUCCCUACUUUAUGAAUUUAUACCUUUUACAUUUUUUAUGAUCUUUACUUGAAUAAGAACAUUUUAUUCCCAAAUUUGAUGUUAAUUUCAGGUUUUUAGGGAAGAAUGGAGAUUUGGACUAAAAAAGAAUGAUAUAAGCUAGAAGGAGAAAGCUGGAAGGCUCGGAACGCACAAAAAGAAGGCUCCAAUGAAGUUUUUUGGAAAACAAGGCCUUUCUCGCUCAAGCGAGAUAUUCAAUUAAUAUAAGAUAUGUAAAAAUACAGAUAUGCAAUUAAUAACAAAACAACUUCAUAUUUCAUUUUGAGUGUUGUAUUUACUUAUAUAUAUUACACAAUUUCAGCAAAACAACCUCAAAAAAAAGUGUAGUUGUUGCAUAAGAUUCCUAUAACCAAGGCUAUAUAUGUUACUAAACAAAUUUUGCAUUAGUCCUUCAAAAAAUAAGUUUUGUUGUUGCUGCUACUACAUAAUUAAUGUUGGUUGUUGCUUGUACUUGUACAUACUAAACAACCUCCAAGUGUCGCUCGCGAACCCACUACCUCUAGUUGUUGGCUUUAUUACCGUCGUCGUUGGUUUCGUUCGUUGCCAUCGUCGUUGGUUUCAUUCGUUGUUGUCACCGUUGGCUUCAUCGUCGUCACUGUUGUCGUUUGCACCUUCAAGUUCAAUCGUUGUUGUUGGAGAGAGGAAAGACGUAGAUUGCCUUUGUCAUCGCAGUUGUCGUUCAAACUUGGUUUCUGUUAGUCAGAAGAAGAACGUAGAGAAGAAGGAUGUACAAAGGAACUUUCGAAAUGAGCAGGGGACAUUUGAAAUGAUGCACCAAGUUCGCGGGCAAAUUAAAAUUAGGGCUUUUAUUUAUAAAAACAAUUAAAAUUAAAAUUAGGGUUUUUAUAUAAUAAUUCAUAUUAAAAUUAGGAUUUUUAUAAAAGGUCGCAAUAUGAAAUUGUUUUGCGAUUCGUAUGAUACAACUAUGAUACGGGAGCAAAAACGAUUAUUCUUACGAUUCAUCUUGCAGACACUCAGAAUCGUAUCGUACGAUUCGUUUCGUGAAUCGUACGAUACUUACUACCAUGAAUCAUAUAAUCUCAACUACAAUAUCACCGCCAAUAUUUAAUAACUCAAUGCAAGUUGUUAGUAGUACUAAUUAAAUGUCAAAAAAACAAAUUUCCACAGGAUGAUCAUGUACUCAAUUUCUCAAGCAUCAAAACUCUAAGAAUGAGAUGAAAGAGGGUGAAGUUCAUGUUACGAAGUGGACUUUAAGCCUAACUCAACCCCAUAAAACCUAUAUACAAUGAAAGGCUCUAAUCUCUAGUCGAUGUGGGAUCUCCAACACACCCCCCUCACGCCGUGGGACUAUAUAUUAUGGGUGGUCCGAUAGAGGCCCGAUAUCGGGUGGCUUGAUAAGCCCAACAAAUACUCGCUAGGAUAGGCUCGAAAUGACUCUGAUACCAUGUUACGAAGUGGACUUUAAGCCUAACUCAACCCCAUAAAACCGGCUCAUAGGGUUGAGGUUUGCACCCACUUAUAUACAAUGAAAGGCUCUAAUCUCUAGUCGAUGUGGGAUCUCCAACAGUUCAAGAAGAAGUUGGUAUUAUAGAAGAAGUUGGAGUGAAGUUGAUGCUAAGAAGAAUAAAUUUCUGGUGUAGAUCCGGCAUAGACUUUGUGAUGCAGGGGAGGUUGGACCAAUUAUGCAGGUGUAGUUUUGAUGUAGGCCACUCUGAUGUGGUGUUUUGGUUAAGCUUUUUCUGUUUGUUGAUUAUUCUGUUUAUGGUUAUGCAGUAGUUGUACUAGAGUCUUUUGAUGGGUUUUAGAACUGUUUUGUUAUGUUAUAAACUUAUAGGUGAUGUAUACGGGUUAGGACACUCCUGAAGUAUCUCAUUUAUAGUCAAUUCUAUUCUUUGUUGAUAAAAAAAAAAAACUCUACAUACAUGUAUUACAAGUUUGAAUUAAUUUAACAAAAUUCUUAUUUAAAUAGUUAUCUAUGCAUGGUUUGAUCAAUAAAAUGCUAAGAGUCACGCUUGAGAUCAGAUAAUAAUGAAAGAAAAAAAAUUAUAUUAUAACAUAAGACUUUACAUAUAAAAACAUAUAUAGUGACGGAUCUUUAGAAAAUAUAAUGUAAACGUUUUCUUAUAGGUGUACACAAAUUUUAGAAGUACGUAUUAAAUAUAUAAAAUGUAUUAAAGUUUAAAACAUACUUCUAUUUAUAUAUGAAUUUAUAUAUAUGUAAAAAUAAUUGGGAGCUAAAGGCCCCUCAGACACCACAGGAAAGUAUAAUAAUAUAAAGAAAGAUAAAAAAACAUUAUCUACAGCAAUAAAUAUAAAGAAUAGACAAUAGAUGGUAAAAUUAAUCUUAACUUUAACACUGUUAUGCGCUUUAUAGAUGAUUUUUUUGUGUGUGUGUUUUUCAUAAUUAGAGUCAUAUAUCCAAAAGAAUAUUGUUCUAAUUCAUUCUCCUUAUCACGUCAUCAACUUUUACUUCUUUACGAAACUGUAGAAGGAAAUAAAUAAAGCUGCCUUAAUAUUCCUAUACAAAAUUAAACAAGUUGUUAAACAAAUUGCUAAUUAAUAAACUGGACACGGCUCUCUUAACAAAGAAGGACCACUUUUUCACACAUGCGAUAUGCUUCAUUGAGUAAAAUGGACGCAAAAACAUUUUAUUUUUGUGAGCUUCCUUUAAUUUAGAAAUUUCUAAUCUAGAUUAAAUAUUAAUCCAAUAUUUGCACACACGCCCUUAUUAAGAAUUAUAUAUCUUGCCAACUUUUUUGGCUCAAGAAACUUUCUACAACGAAAGUUUGUGACCCAUUUUUUCUAUUGCAAAAUUGCGACUGAUAAAGAAAUAAUGGAGAAGGGAUUUGUGAUUACGGUUUUUGGUAUCACCUUUAUUUGGUCGCUCUUUCUAUUUCAAAUCAAUUUAACGAUUAAUUUUUAUGUUUUAACGAUUAAUUUUAGUGGUUGAUAUUUCUUUUUUAGUGAUUUAAAUUUUGUUAAUAUAGAUUAAAUAUUAAUUGAAUAUUUGCAUUCAGGGCUUAGUAAGAUUCUUACCAACUGUUUCUUGACUCAAGAAACGCCUGAAACAUGCUGAUAAUUAAGUGGAGAACACAAAUUCUUCUUCUAAACUUAUUCCAAAACGUGGACGCUAUUAUUUUGGAACUCGUUGCUCCUUCCAAGAAAGCACCUUCUUGUGACCCAGAAAUAAAGGUCAAGUAAAUUUGAGGGUUUAUUGGAGGUGGUGGCAGUUUCUCUUUUUCUGGUCAAAUUGUCAAGAGAAGAAAUCAGCCACCAAGUGGGGUCCAACUACACCAAAGUGGCAAGACAAUUGAACUACGGAACCAAAAGAAACGUUUGCUAUGUGAUCUGUACUCUGCUAAAGGCUAAAGCAUAGAUAAAAACAAAGGGUGGAAAGAAAGCAAAUUAUAACAUAUUUUCUCUAUUAUUUAGGGACGUUCUUUUUUCCUUUUUUUGUGGUUGGUCUUAUAUCUUAAAGCUCUAUAAGUACCACCCUGCAAACUCAAAUCUACAUAGAGCAAUAGAGAAGAGGCAGAUAGAAAGAAAGAAAGAAAACGAGUGUUGAGUUUAAAAAAUGAGUAACUUCCCAGUGAUCAACUUUGAGAAGCUCAAUGGUGAGGAGAGAAAAGACAUCAUGGAGAAAAUAAAAGAUGCUUGUGAAAACUGGGGAUUCUUUGAGGUACCUCAAGAACCCAUGCUUGUCUUUCCUAAUUCAUUUCUACAUUGCCCUCCAAAUAUAUGUCCUAGUUAUUUCUUCCCAUUUUCUUGGUACUUAAUGUCUUUUCUUACUCUUGGCUUUCAAAAUUAUGUAUAUAGUUGGUGGAUCAUGGCAUACCCCAUGACCUAUUGGACACUGUGGAGAGGUUGACUAAAGAGCACUACGAGAAAUGUAUGGAAGAAAGGUUCAAGGAAUCAAUGGCAAGCAAAGGUCUAGAGGCCAUCCAAACUGAGGUCAAGGAUAUGGACUGGGAGAGCACCUUCCACUUGCGUCACCUCCCUGAAUCAAACAUAUCAGAGGUCCCUGAUCUCGUUGAUGAAUACAGGUUACAGUGCAACAAACAUAUAUAACAUUACACAUUGCAUGAGGAAAACAUAUGAUAUUGUCCCAAAGAUUGAAAAUUACUCCACCUAUAUUACUUCUGCUGCAUUAUUUAUUUUUGAGUAUCCACACAUCACCUAAUAAUGAUUUCAAAAACCAAAAAAUAAACAAGAUGGACCUGUGCAUUUCCAAAUUGAAACUGUACAUAUCUCUUUCACUAGACUCUAACAUGAAGUAAUAGUGCAGGAAGGUGAUGAAGGAUUUUGCUUUGAGGUUAGAAAAACUAGCAGAACAGCUGCUGGACUUGUUGUGUGAGAAUCUUGGUCUAGAGAAAGGGUACCUCAAGAAAGCCUUCUAUGGAUCAAGAGGACCAACUUUUGGCACCAAGGUUGCCAACUACCCUCCAUGCCCCAACCCAGAGUUGGUGAAGGGUCUUCGUGCCCACACCGAUGCCGGUGGGAUCAUCCUUCUCUUCCAGGAUGACAAGGUCAGUGGCUUACAGCUGCUCAAAGAUGACCAGUGGGUCGAUGUACCCCCUAUGCGCCACUCCAUUGUUGUUAACAUUGGUGAUCAGCUUGAGGUAAACUUUUCCUACUAAUAUGUGAACUUAAUUAGUAUACAGUAAUAAUGCAAAUGCUUUUUCCACUUUCAUCUUAUCAUAGAUUAUCAAGCAAUCAAAAAUAUCAUUUUUUGGUCAUAAUUACUUUAAAAACUUUUAAUUGGUGGACUUUAAUCUACAUAUUCAUAUGCAUAUAUACAUAUACAUAUAUAUGUAUAUAUAGAUAAACUAGACAUUUCUACAAACAAGUGAGAUGCGACAAAAUUAGUGAUAUCUAACUCUACUUGGUUAAAAAAACAGGUGAUCACCAAUGGUAAGUACAAGAGUGUGGAGCACCGUGUGAUAGCACAAACUGAUGGGACCAGAAUGUCCAUAGCCUCAUUCUACAACCCUGGCAGCGAUGCUGUCAUCUACCCUGCUCCAGAAUUGUUGGAGAAAGAGGCAGAGGAGAAAGCCC